AGGGGGGUUCUGCGGUGCUGCAGGUGCUGCCGUGCAUGGGGUGCGGUGCCACAGCUGUGCAGCAGUGCAGCCAUGCGCCUCAGUGAAGGGCUCGGGGCGCAGCGCCGCAAGGCCGUGUUUGGUUGCAGGAUUUGGGUGCAGGACUUUGGUGAGGAACUUUGGUGCAGGAUUUGGAGUGCAGGGGUUGGGUGCAGGACUGCAGGUGCAGCGCUUUGGGUGCAGCACUUUGGGGGUGCAAGAUUGGGGGUGUAGGGCUUUGCUGUGUGGUUUGGUGCAGGACUUUGGCUUUGGGGUUUCCUGCAUGGCUUUGGUUGCAGGAUGUUCGGUGCAGGGCUUUGGGUGCAGGAUUGGGGGUGUAGGGCUUUGUUGCAUGGUUUGGUGCAGGACUUUGGCUGUGGGGUUUCCCUGCAUGCCUUUGGUUGCAGGAUGUUCAGUGCAUGGCUUUGGUUGCAGGAUGUUCGGUGCAGGGCUUUGGGUGCAGUGCUUUGGGUGCAGCAUUGGGGGUGUAGGGCUUUGCUGCAGCUUUGCUGCAUGGUUUGGUGCAGGACUUUGGCUGUGGGGUUUCCUGCAUGGCUUUGGUUGCAGGAUGUUCGGUGCAGGGCUUUGGAUGCAGCAUUGAGGGUGCAGCAUUGGGGGUGCAGGGCUUUGCUGCAUGGUUUGGUGCAGGGCUUUGGCUGUGGGGUUUCCCUGCAUGGCUUUGGUUGCAGGAUGUUCAGUGCAGGGCUUUGGGUGCAGGAUUGGGAGUGCAGGAUUGGGGGUGUAGGGCUUUGUUGCAUGGUUUGGUGCAGGACUUUGGCUGUGGGGUUUCCCUGCAUGGCUUUGGUUGCAGGAUGUUCAGUGCAGGGCUUUGGGUGCAGGAUUGGGGGUGUAGGGCUUUGCUGCAUAGUUUGGUGCAGGACUUUGGCUGUGGGGUUUCCCUGCAUGGCUUUGGGUUGCAGGAUUGAGGGUGCAGGGCUUUGGGUGCAGUGCUUUGGGUGCAGGAUUGGGGGUGUAGGGCUUUGCUGCGUGGUUUGGUGCAGGACUUUGGCUGUGGGGUUUCCCUGCAUGGCUUUGGGUUGCAGGAUGUUCAGUGCAGGGCUUUGAGUGCAGUGCUUUGGGUGCAGCAUUGGGGGUGUAGGGCUUUGCUGCAGCUUUGCUGCAUAGUUUGGUGCAGGAGUUUGGCUGUGGGGUUUCCCUGCAUGCCUUUGGUUGCAGGAUGUUCGGUGCAGGGCUUUGGGUGCAGCAUUGGGGGUGCAGGAUUGGGGGUGUAGGGCUUUGUUGCAUGGUUUGGUGCAGGACUUUGGCUGUGGGGUUUCCCUGCAUGGCUUUGGUUGCAGGAUGUUCAGUGCAGGGCUUUGGGUGCAGCAUUGAGGGUGCAGGAUUGGGGGUUGUAGAGCUUUGCUGCGUGGUUUUGGUGCAGGACUUUGGCUGUGGGGGUUUCCUGCAUGGCUUUGGUUGCAGGAUGUUCGGUGCAGGGCUUUGGGUGCAGGAUUGGGGGUGUAGGGCUUUGUUGCAUGGUUUGGUGCAGGACUUUGGCUGUGGGGUUUCCCUGCAUGGCUUUGGUUGCAGGAUGUUCAGUGCAGGGCUUUGGGUGCAGCAUUGAGGGUGCAGGAUUGGGGGUGUAGGGCUUUGCUGCAUGGUUUGGUGCAGGACUUUGGCUGUGGGGUUUCCCUGCAUGGCUUUGGUUGCAGGAUGUUCGGUGCAGGGCUUUGGAUGCAGCUUUGAGGGUGCAGGAUUGGGGGUGUAGGGCUUUGCUGCAUGGUUUGGUGCAGGACUUUGGGUGUGGGGUUUCCCUGCAUGGCUUUGGGGUGCAGGAUUGAGGGUGCAGCGCUUUGGGUGCAGUAUUGGGGUUGUAGGGCUUUGCUGCAUGGUUUGGUGCAGGACUUCGGCUGUGGGGGUUUCCUGCAUGGCUUUGGUUGCAGGAUGUUCGGUGCAGGGCUUUGGAUCCAGCGUUGAGGGUGCAGGAUUGGGGAUGCAGGGCUUUGCUGCAGCUUUGCUGCAUAGUUUGGUGCAGGACUUUGGCUGUGGGAUUUUCCUGCAUGGCUUUGGUUGCAGGAUGUUCGGUGCAGGGCUUUGGAUGCAGCGUUGAGGGGUGCAGGAUUGGGGGUGUAGGGCUUUGCUGUGUGGUUUGGUGCAGGACUUUGGCUUUGGGUUUCCUGCAUGGCUUUGGUUGCAGGAUGUUCGGUGCAGGGCUUUGGGUGCAGGAUUGGGGGUGUAGGGCUUUGUUGCAUGGUUUGGUGCAGGACUUUGGCUGUGGGGUUUCCCUGCAUGCCUUUGGUUGCAGGAUGUUUGGUGCAGGAUUGGGGGUGUAGGGCUUUGCUGCAUGGUUUGGUGCAGGACUUUGGCUGUGGGGUUUCCCUGCAUGCCUUUGGUUGCAGGAUGUUCAGUGCAUGGCUUUGGUUGCAGGAUGUUCGGUGCAGGGCUUUGGGUGCAGUGCUUUGGGUGCAGCAUUGGGGGUGUAGGGCUUUGCUGCAGCUUUGCUGCAUGGUUUGGUGCAGGACUUUGGCUGUGGGGUUUUCCUGCAUGGCUUUGGUUGCAGGAUGUUCGGUGCAGGGCUUUGGGUGCAGAGUUUGGGUGCAGGAUUUUGGGUGCAGGGCUUUGGUGCAAGACUUUGGGUGUGGGAUUUUGCUGCAUGGCUUUGGACGCAGGGCUUUGGUUGCAGGAUUUUGAUGCAGGGUUUUUGGGUGUGGGACUUUGCUGCAGGGGUUUGGAUGCAGGGCUUUGGUUGCAGGACUUUGGUGCAGGACUUUGGGUGUGGGAUUUUGCUGCAGGGCUUUGGAUGCAGGAUUUUGGAUGCAGGACUUUGCUGCAGGGGUUUGGACGCAGGGCUUUGGUUGCAAGAUUUUGAUGCAGGGUUUUGGGUGCAGGACUUUGGUGCAGAACUGAGUAUGGGGCUUUGGGUGCACGACUUUGGUGCAGGACUUCAGUGCAGGACUUUGUUGCAGAGCUUUGGCAGCUGAUUUUGGCACAGGGCUUUGAAUGCGGCCCUUUGGUGCAGGACUUUGGGCGUGGGAUUUUGCUGCAGGGCUUUGGUUGCAGGACUUUGGUUGCAGGGUUUUGGGUGCAGGACUUUGGCGCAGGAUUUUGGGUGUGGGAUUUUGCUGCAGGGCUGUGGUUGCAGGAUUUUGGCUGCAGCACUUUGGUGCAGAACUGAGUAUGGGGCUUUGGGUGCAGGACUGUGGUGCAGGACUUCGGUGCAGGACUUUGGUGCAGGGCUUUGGCACCUGAUUUUUGCACAGGGCUUUGAAUGCGGCCCUUUGGUGCAGGACGUUGGGUGUGGGAUUUUGCUGCAGGGCUUUGGAUGCAGCACUUCGGGUGUGGGAUUUUGGCUGCAGGGUUUUGGGUGUAGGACUUUGGUUGCAGGAUUUUGAUGCAGGGAUUUUGCUGCAGGGCUUUGGUUGCAGGAUUUUGGGUGUGGGAUUUUGCUGCAGGGCUUUGGUUGCAGGAUUUUGGCUGCAGCACUUUGGUACAGAACUGAGUAUGGGGCUUUGGGUGCAGGACUGUGGUGCAGGACUUCGGUGCAGGAUUUCGGUGCAGGAAUUUGGUGCAGGACUUCGUGUGCAGGACUUUGGUGCAGGACUUUGAUGCAUGGUUUUGGGUGCAGGACUUUGGCGCAGGAUUUGGGUGUGGGAUUUUGCUGCAGGGCUUUGGUUGCAGGAUUUUGGCUGCAGCACUUUGGUGCAGAACUGAGUAUGGGGCUUUGGGUGCAGGACUGUGGUGCAGGACUUCGGUGCAGGACUUUGGUGCAGGGCUUUGGCACCUGAUUUUGGCACAGGGCUUUGAAUGCGGCACUUUGGUGCAGGACGUUGGGUGUGGGAUUUUGCUGCAGGGCUUUGGAUGCAGCACUUCGGGUGUGGGAUUUUGGCUGCAGGGUUUUGGGUGUAGGACUUUGGUUGCAGGAUUUUGAUGCAGGGAUUUUGCUGCAGGGCUUUGGUUGCAGGAUUUGGGGUGUGGGAUUUUGCUGCAGGGCUUUGGAUGCAGCACUUCGGGUGUGGGAUUUUGCUGCAGGGGUUUGGAUGCAGGGCUUUGGACGCAGGAUUUUGGGUGCAGGACUUUGACGGAGGAUUUUGGGUGUGGGAUUUUGCUGCAGGGCUUUGGUUGCAGGAUUUUGGAUGCAGGAUUUUGCAUGUGGGACUUCGCUGCAGGGCUUUGGUGCAGGACUUUGGCACCUGCUUUUGGCCCAGGAUUGCAGCGCAGGACUGCAACGCAGCGCUUUGGGUGCAGCGCUUCGGUGCAGAACGGGGUAUGGGAUUUGGGGUGCAGGGCUUUGCUGCAGGGUUUGAGUGUGGGAUUUCGGUGCAGGAUUUGGGCUGCAGGGCUUUGGUGCAGGAUUUGAGUGCAGGGCUUUGGGUGCAGGAGGUUGGCACAAGGCUUUGGCACAGGAUUUGGUGCAGGACUUUGAUUGCAGGAUUUUGGGUGCAGCACUUUGGUGCAGAACUGAGUAUGGGGCUUUGGGUGCAGGACUUCGGUGCAGGGCUUUGGGUGCACGACUUUGGGUGCAGGACUUUGAAUGCGGCACUUUGGUGCAGGACUUUGGGCGUGGGAUUUUGCAUCAGGGCUUUGGGUGCAGGACUUUGGUUGCAGGAUUUCGGUGCAGGAUUUGGGCUGCAGGGCUUUGGAUGCAGGACUUUGUUUGCAGGUCUUUGGUGCAGGGCUUUGGGUGCAGGGCUUUGUGUGCAGGACUUUGGUGCAGGACUUUGGUGCAUGAUUUUGAUGCAGGUCUUAGGAUGCAGGACUUUGGUGCAGGAUUUCGUUGCAGGGCUUUGGGUGCGGGCCUUUGGUGCAGGAUUUCGGUGCAGGGCUUUGGUGCAUGAUUUCCAUGCAGGGCUUUGGAUGCAGGACUCUGGUGCAGGAUUUUGGUGCAGGGCUUUGGUGCAGGACUUUGUGUGCAGGACUUUGGUGCAGGACUUUGGAUGCAGAAUUUUGGUGCAGGACUUUGUGUGCAGGACUUUGGCGCAGGGCUUUGGUGCAAUACUUUGUGUGCAGGACUUUGGUGCAUGAUUUCUAUGCAGGGCUUUGGAUGCAGGGCUUUGGUGCAGGGUUUCGUUGCAGGGCUUAGGAUGCAGGACUUCGGGUGCAGGAUUUUGGUGCAGGACUUUGGUGCAGGAUUUCGGUGCAGGAUUUCGGUGCAGGGCUUUGGUGCAGGAUUUCGGUGCAGGUCAGGAUUUCGAUGUGGGUCUUAGGAUGCAGGACUUUGUGUGCAGGACUUUGGUGCAGGACUUUGGUGCAGGACUUUGGUGCAGGGCUUAGGAUGCAGGACUUCGGGUGCAGGAUUUUGGUGCGGGUCUUAGGAUGCAGGACUUUGGUGCAGGGCUUUGGUGCAGGGCUUUGGUGCAGGAUUUCAGUGCAGGCUUUGGUGCAGGACUUUG
rnacentral:lncRNA from 1 species